AUGAAACUCAUCGGAUGGAACUGCCGGGGGCUCGGGAACAGCCCAGCAGUUCGUAGCCUCCUCGAUUUGGGGAGGGCGGAGGAACCCGAUGUUCUCUUUUUGGUGGAGAUGAAAUUGACAGAGAAGGAGUUGCAGAGGUUUCGGUGGUCGUUGGGCUUGGCUAAUAUGACAAUGUGGAAUCCGGUCGGCCGUAGCUGAGGCGUAGCAUUGUUCUGGAGGAGGGGGCUAAGCGUAGCUUUGAGAUGUCGUAGGCCCAUGUAG
rnacentral:rRNA from 1 species